UUCUUAUCAAGAGAAGCCGAGGGACUGGCCCGAUGACGCUUCAGCAACCGUCGCUAUAAAAAUAGCGACAAGGUGCUAAUUCCAGCAGACGGGAAAACGUCUGAGGGAUAAGAA
rnacentral:ncRNA from 2 species